rnacentral:tRNA from 1 species
GGAGGGGUGGCCGAGUGGUUAAUGGCAGCAGACUGUAAAUCUGCCGGGAAACCUACGCUGGUUCGAAUCCAGCCCCCUCCACCA